UCCCCGGGCGCCGCAGCAUAAAUGGCUGCCCACUGCUCCAGAGUGAACAUGAACAUGCAGAAAAAGCUUUAUUGGAAAAUAAUGCUGUGUGGAGUUUGCAUGUUCUCCCUGUGCUUCGGGGGUUUCCUCAGGGUCAUCCAGUUUCCUUCUCCCAUCUAAAGACAUGCUGCAGACUCAUUGGCAUCUCUAACAUGUCUGUACAAAGCAUGUGCAUUUAUACAGUUGAAUAAAUAAACUAAUGCAAAUAUUG